CCAACCCCUAUACUUGGACUCUAGAGAUGUGGCAGUGACUGUCACCUGCUUUGCUGGAAUCAGAAAUCUAGGAGGGAAUAGAAAAGUCCUUUUCCAUGUGACAUAUGUGGCCGCCAGUUCAAUGACACAGGGAAUCUGAAACGUCAUAUUGAGUGUACUCAUGGUGGGAAGAGAAAAUGGACGUGCUUUAUUUGUGGAAAAUCAGUGAGAGAAAGAACUACGUUGAAAGAGCAUUUAAGAAUCCACAGUGGAGAGAAGCCUCAUCUUUGCAGUAUUUGCGGGCAGAGCUUUCGUCAUGGAAGCUCAUACAGAAGCCAUGCCUUCAGGUCUUUUGGUUUUAGCAGGUCUAGCUGGCCUUGAACUUUCAAUUCUCCCAGGUAGCUAACAUGAUAUCCGUGCACCACCAGCCUGUCUUGCUCUAAUUGUUGCUUCAACGAAAACAUUUCUUAG